rnacentral:lncRNA from 1 species
CGCAGAAGUAGCAGUGACAAACUGGCCUCCACUCAAAACCAACAUGUCAAGGUUUCAACAUAAAUCGCUGUAUUUUUAGUUUUUUCAAUUUCAAAGAGCCAUUUGUUUUGGGGGUACUGUUAGCUUGACAUGGAAUCUGACAAAGGGACCGACAUGGGCCUGGUUCGAGCGAGCGUGUUUAACCAUGCAGGUGGUCUGUGACACUGAGGAAUUGAACAGUCUGGGCCGGGCAACAGAUUCCGACUGGCAAGUCGACGAGGGCGGAUGAAAAGACAGAGUUCCGCUAUCAUGGCUCUAGAGUGCCAAUAACGCGACCUACCCAUAUGGUUCUAUCCGUAAGAUGCUGCUUUGAGAUAUGUGCCAGUUUGUAAUUUACUAUGUUCUAUACAUUACGCAGAGGUGAUUAACAGAGAAGUAGUACAACAGUCUGAUUUUUUGGGACGUGACCGCUGAGACCUUUUUAUCUUUCUCUUCUCUCUGCUCUACCCUUUCUCUCUCUUUCUCUUCUCUCUGCUCUACUUUUUGUCAGUCACAUACGUAUUUUCUUUUCUUCUUCUCUUUCCUUUCCGGUGUAUUUUUUGCUUUUCUUUCUUUCUUUCUUUUCGGAUGAACUUUUGAAGUACCACCUAAUGUACCUCGUAAAUAUGUAGUACCUCGUUAGUACUUAGUAACUCGUUUUUAAGUAAAUUGUGAUACAUGAAAUGUACCUUCUAAGUUUUGAAGUACCUCGUGAAAAAAUAAAG